rnacentral:rRNA from 1 species
AUUGAACGCUGGCGGAAUGCUUUACACAUGCAAGUCGAACGGUAGAGGGGGCAACCCCUCGAGAGUGGCGAACGGGUGAGUAAUAUAUCGGAACGUGCCCAGUCGUGGGGGAUAACGUAGCGAAAGUUACGCUAAUACCGCAUACGAUCUACGGAUGAAAGCGGGGGACUCGCAAGAGCCUCGCGCGAUUGGAGCGGCCGAUAUCAGAUUAGGUAGUUGGUGGGGUAAAGGCUCACCAAGCCAACGAUCUGUAGCUGGUCUGAGAGGACGACCAGCCACACUGGAACUGAGACACGGUCCAGACUCCUACGGGAGGCAGCAGUGGGGAAUUUUGGACAAUGGACGCAAGUCUGAUCCAGCCAUUCCGCGUGCAGGAUGAAGGCCCUCGGGUUGUAAACUGCUUUUGUACGGAACGAAAAGGUUUCUAUUAAUACUAGGAGCUCAUGACGGUACCGUAAGAAUAAGCACCGGCUAACUACGUGCCAGCAGCCGCGGUAAUACGUAGGGUGCAAGCGUUAAUCGGAAUUACUGGGCGUAAAGCGUGCGCAGGCGGUUAUGUAAGACAGAGGUGAAAUCCCCGGGCUCAACCUGGGAACUGCCUUUGUGACUGCAUAGCUAGAGUACGGUAGAGGGGGAUGGAAUUCCGCGUGUAGCAGUGAAAUGCGUAGAUAUGCGGAGGAACACCGAUGGCGAAGGCAAUCCCCUGGACCUGUACUGACGCUCAUGCACGAAAGCGUGGGGAGCAAACAGGAUUAGAUACCCUGGUAGUCCACGCCCUAAACGAUGUCAACUGGUUGUUGGGUCUUCACUGACUCAGUAACGAAGCUAACGCGUGAAGUUGACCGCCUGGGGAGU